UCCAACUCACGACCCCAAGAUCAAGAGUCGCUCGCUCUUCCAGCUGAACCGGCCGGGCGCCCAGCUGGUGCCAUUCUGAACAGGCUCCUACGCCUGCUCCCUCAUCUCCCAAGCCAGCAGCCAAAGAUCUAAAAAUCUGCCAAGUUUAUGCCCCUAGCAGUUGUGAAUUUCCCCUUCGUGUCCCAUGUGGCUCAUGUCUCUGUCACUGCUUUCUGAAGGAGGACUAAACUUAGUACUAGUUGUCACAAAGGCGUGAAGCUGAGGGUGAUCUAAUAGCCUCUCCUUGCCAACUUGCAAGCUGCCACGUGGGUCUGUCACAGCUUCGUGGGGAGACAUGCGCAGAAGACACAGACUCCCAGGUCAGAGACGAAGGACUCCGGUCCCUUCCGUGAGAGCCAGAGGUAGAGGAUCCAAGUCGCCGCGGCCCAGGACGUAAGCCAGGGAUAUGACAAACAACCUUGCUCAGACAAACUCUCCAGUUUAAAAAAGCUAAAAUGUGGAAUAAUUUCUUAAAAGCAUUGAAGGCCUGACAAAGGAGGAGGCCACCAAGUUAAUUACUCAAAGAAAAUGAGGAAAAGAGGUUUUCUUGCAGCCUACAGUCAUAUGAUUCUCAAUGCUAUCUUCUCUGCAGCAGUUCUAUUAUAAUGAAGGGUUCUGGACUGAAAAGCAAAAUAAAACUUCCACAUCCAGGAGAUGUCUCCUAAUAAUCAACAUAAUUCAAUUGAACAUGUCAAUAAAAUGGGUAAGUUAACACCUACUCCCAUAGCAGCAAAUUACUUAACAGGUAGUAGUGUUUUCCCUUUUUCUUAAUCACACACAAAAAAAGUACAUUAAAUUUUUUGAGGAAAAAAAUUUUUUUUGAAGAAAAAACAAUUAACCCAAUAUUCCCUAUAAUCCCCCUAUCCCCACAUAAGCAGUUUUAUUUCAGAAUUACUACUUUUCAGUUUGUCCUUGUGCACAUAUAUUUUCACACAGCUAUAAUCACUGUACAAGUUUUUAUUUUGUUUUUAUAUUUAAACUUUGUUCAACAUAGUCCAUGUUUUUACAGUCAUCCUAAUUAUACCUUUUUAAAGGCUGCAUAAUAACAAUAACAAUCCCCAUUGAUGUGUUAUAUGAUUUAGUCAUUCAAGUUGGACACUGGGUUGGGUUGAGGUUGGACAUUUGGGUUCCUCCAUGGCUUCCUACUACACAUACUGUUACACCUGUAUAGACUUUCUAAAACUUAUUCACCUCUCAAAUUAUUUUCUAAGGGUAAAUUAUCCAAUAUUGGUAAUUAGUGGGUAUAUUUUUGUGGCUCUUGAAAAAUCACCAUAGUGCUUUUCCUAAAGGCAAAAACCAAAGUACAAGAUUGCUAGUAGUACAUAUAUGGGCAUCCACUUCAUAACCACCCCACUAGCAGUGGGCAUUCAUGUUAGGUAACUUAGAAUUCAAUAAAAAAUUUACCCCCGGAAAACUCCUCAAUGACAGAUUCUGGAGAAUCUAGACUUUCACUUACCAUCUUGCUUGUUGCUUCAGUAAGUUUUCAUUCCCAUAGUGUAUAAAAGCUAAGUCAAUGAAGUUUAUUAAUGUCUGUUUCAUUAAAUCAUCUUGUGUUUCUUUUUUAAGUCCUUCAAUUCUGCUCUUGUUAUAGUGGAAAGGAUUAUUAUAAUUUUCACUAACAGAGAACAGCUACAAAUUACAGAGGGUUGAUAAGGCAACCAGAUUGUGUAAUGGCAAGAAAACACCUGGUUGGUGGGCUCACAAGACCAUUCCUCACCCCACCCCCAAUCUCUUUUGUGUUCGUGAACACUGGAAAGGCUUCCUCAGUCCCACAUAAAAACAAGCCAAUCCUCAUUCAACCCUGUGGCCCCUUCAUUUUACUCUGUUUACAUUGGAGUCCCCUCCCCCCUUUUUAAAUAUUUUAUUUAUUUAUUUAUUCAUGAGAUACAAAGAGAG